CCUGCGGAGGGAUCAUUACACAAAUAUGAAGGCGGGCUGGAAUCUCUCGGGGUUACAGCCUUGCUGAAUUAUUCACCCUUGUCUUUUGCGUACUUCUUGUUUCCUUGGUGGGUUCGCCCACCACUAGGACAAACAUAAACCUUUUGUAAUUGCAAUCAGCGUCAGUAACAAAUUAAUAAUUACAACUUUCAACAACGGAUCUCUUGGUUCUGGCAUCGAUGAAGAACGCAGCGAAAUGCGAUAAGUAGUGUGAAUUGCAGAAUUCAGUGAAUCAUCGAAUCUUUGAACGCACAUUGCGCCCUUUGGUAUUCCAAAGGGCAUGCCUGUUCGAGCGUCAUUUGUACCCUCAAGCUUUGCUUGGUGUUGGGCGUCUUGUCUCUAGCUUUGCUGGAGACUCGCCUUAAAGUAAUUGGCAGCCGGCCUACUGGUUUCGGAGCGCAGCACAAGUCGCACUCUCUAUCAGCAAAGGUCUAGCAUCCAUUAAGCCUUUUUUCAACUUUUGACCUCGGAUCAGGUAGGAUCCCG
rnacentral:rRNA from 1 species